GUAAAGUAUCUUCUAUGUAUAUGUAACGAUAAUACUGUUAUUUUGCGCGAAAUAAUAUUGAAAAUAUAAAUCAUUUUCAUGAAUGUGUACUCGUAGCAUUCAUGAGAGAAAUGAUAUUUAAUGAUUUUUCGAAUUCAUUAGAAAGAUAGCAUCGUAGAAAUGACUCCAAAACGCAAAACUACUAGUUCGGAAUCUACUUCAUCAUCGAGCUCUGGCUCUUCAUCUAGUAGUUCUUCAAGUUCUGGCAGUGAAUCUAGUUCAUCUGAUUCAGAAAACUCCAGCAGUUCUGUUAAUAGUCAAAAAGCAUCUGAUUCGGAAAGAUCUAAAAAGAAGGUACCGUUUCCAGCCGCAAGACAUGUCAAAUCUAAAACUGAGCCAACUCCUACUACUACGGCAGAAAAUAAAAACAAAGAAAAAGUACAACCUAAAUCUAGACCAGUAGUUUAUUCCUCGGAAUCUGAAGAAUCACCUAAUAAGUUGAAAUCUGUGAAAAGGAAACUACCUGCCAAACCUAAAGCUACUGCUACUGUAGCACCUGUAGUUAAAGUUCAAAAACCGCCAACUAAACCAGUAUCUAAUGUUACGCAACAUAAAAAUAUUCCAGCUGUAAAGCCAAGUAAUAAACAGGCCAAACUUUCAGGUCCUGUAGCAACAAAUACGAAAGUAGCAGAUAAAUCUACGAAAAUGACAUCGGAACCGGUACAAAAGAAAUUAAAAAAGAAGAGUAUAUUUAGUCCUGAAAAUAGUAGCGAAAGUGACAAUGCUUCCCCACCAAAAGUAAAUACGAUAAAAGCAGCGAACAAUACCGUAAAAUGUACAAAGGCUCCACCUAAAAUAAAACCUGCUGAUCCCAAAAUAAAACCUACCAUACCAUCAAGACCUGCACUAGUUACUAAAACUCCGCAAAUUCAAAAAUCUGAUAGUUCGGCUAGUUCAAAGAGCUGUUCGGGUGGAUCAGGUUCUUCUGGUUCAACAGAUAGCAGUAGCGAUUCUGAUUCAUCAGAAAGCGUUACUAGUCCACAAUCUCAACCUAAAAAGAAGGAUGUUCCACCACCUGUUACACAAAAUGUUACUACAAAUGCACAACCGAAAAGGCCAUCAGCCACAGUAGCACCAGUUAAACCUUUGAAAUGUACAAAGAAACAAGGUAGGGUAAAAAGUGAAGAUGAUGGAGAUGCAUCAGGCAGCGAUAAGGAAAUGGAUGAUAAUACAGAAGUAAGUUCUUCUAAAGGAACGGUUAAAGGCAAACGAAAGUUGCAAACUCGCAAAGGAAGCAAACUAUUACAACUGCAGGCGAAAGCUGCUAGUGACUCCGAAUCGGAUACAGUAUGGUUCUCAGGUACGGAAACGGUAGAGCGUAAACGUAUCCUGCAAAUUCCACUGAUCCGGUGUGAUUUGUCGGGAGUAGCUGAAAGCAAGAGAAGUACGAGCAAGUCGCCAGUUAAGCGUGCUGGUCCUAGUCAAGGCGCUAGACAUUCAUCAUCCACAGCGAAUAGAACCACGCAGAGCAGUGCUGGAUCUAAUACAGUUGCUAAUAGAACUGGACAAAACUCAUACAAUCGUACACGUACUACAAAGGAAAGAGAAUGUCCAUUGGCAGCAUGUUGCGAUUCCAGAGGUCAUCUUUCUGGGAAACUGGAAACGCAUUUUACAUUGGAAGCUUGUCCUUUAUAUCACAAUACUACGCCACAAAAUUGCAUAGAAUUUUAUAAAGAAAGGAAGAAAAGGGAAGAAGAACGAAAGAAGUCGAUAGCUAAUCUUGCUAAAAAAUCACCUAAAGGAGGACAUCAGACAAACGAGCAACGUAAUUAUCAACUUAAAGUUAAAGAAAUGAGAAACAAAUGGAAGCCUCAUACCGGGGAAGAUAAUGGAAGUGACAGUGGUAACGAUCUUCCUGGAAAUGAAAAGGACAGACAACCGCGUUUAACUAAUCUAACUUCGGAUUAUGAUCUGAAAUUAUUUAUGGAAGCUCAAGCAAUUGCCAGUGAAAAAAUAGAAAAAGAGUUAAAAGAAUUGGAUUAUGAUGGAGAAGGUAGAAACAGUGGUGGCACGCGAUGCGUUGAAAUGGGAAAAUGGGAAAUGGAAGUUUGGUAUCAAAGUCCAUAUCCAGAAGAAUUUAGUCGUGCUCCUAAACUUUAUCUUUGCGAAUAUUGUUUAAGAUACGCUAAAAGUCGUCAGGUAUUAAGAAGACAUCGAGAAAAAUGUUUGUGGAGACAUCCACCUGGACAUGAGGUAUACAGAAAAGAUAAAAUUGGUGUCUGGGAAGUGGAUGGUAAACGUUACAAACAAUAUUGCCAAAAUUUGUGCCUCCUAGCAAAGUUCUUUUUGGAUCACAAAACUCUUUACUAUGACGUGGAACCAUUCCUCUUCUACGUGAUGACUAUAGGUGAUUCUGAAGGAUGUCAUACAGUUGGUUAUUUCAGUAAGGAAAAGAAUUCUUUCCUGAACUACAACGUCUCCUGUAUCCUGACGUUACCACCAUAUCAGAGACAAGGCUAUGGUCGACUUCUCAUCGACUUUAGUUAUCUAUUAACAAGGGUUGAGAAGAAGAUAGGUUCGCCAGAGAAACCUUUAUCGGAUUUGGGUCUAAUAUCUUAUCGAAGUUAUUGGAAGGAUGUUUUGUUACAAUAUCUUUGCAAUUUUGGUGGCAAGGAACUUUCAGUGAAAGACAUUAGCAAAGAAAUGGCGAUUGACUCUUAUGAUAUUGUAAGUACUUUGCAAGCUCUUGGAAUGAUGAAGUAUUGGAAAGGCAAGCAUAUUAUAUUGAAGAAACAGGACGUGAUAGACGACUACAAGGAGAGGGUGAAGAGACGAGGUCUCGUCUACAAGGAGAUCGAUCCGGAGUGCCUAAAAUGGAAUCCCUUCCAACCUCCCAAGACUCCCUCAGCUUCGAACUAAGAGGGCAAAGAGGAAGAUCGAAAAGAGAUGAAGAAAAAAAGGAAAAGGAGAAAGGAGGAGGUUGGACUCUUCUCUCUUAGAAGCCGUAAAGCAGAUUUCACGCCUGUAACGAUUGGUAAGGGCCAUAGAAUCCUUCCUGGAACUCGUUCUUUCCACGUCGAAGUCUCUGAAGAGACCAAUGAGGAACGUGCAAAAGUGGACUGAGAAGAAGAUUAGAUGAGAAAUUGAUGUGAUCACUAUAGUUUAGACCCCUCGUAUCUUGACCUUGUAGGUCGGGGAUAGAAAAGGGAUGGAAGGUCAGCUUAUAUAUGAAAUCACCAAUCAUAAGUGAGGAAUAUAGCACAAUUCUACAAUUCAAUUGCUGACAGUCAGCAGUUUUUAUGGACAAGCUAAAACACCAUAGGAACGUCUCAAGAAAUGUAUUACAUCAACAUUAAUAGUUUUAAUUAUAACUAUGUACAAUGUUGUUAUUACAUUUACCUACCUAUGUAAAUUAUUUAUAAGACUGUACAAAUAUAAUUUUAUUGUAAAAUCGAAAAUUUAUAGAAUAAAAAUUUGAAUUUUUACAAAUCAA